GCCUGCGUGGCUCAGGCGGUUGAGCGUCCGACUUCGGCUCAGGUCAUGAUCUCAAUUUGUGGGUUUGAACCCCAUCACGGGCU
rnacentral:tRNA from 1 species